CCUACGGGAGGCUGCAGUGAGGAAUAUUGGUCAAUGGGCGCGAGCCUGAACCAGCCAAGUAGCGUGCAGGAUGACUGCCCUACGGGUUGUAAACUUCUUUUAUAUGGGAAUAAAAUGUUCCACGUGUGGGAUUUUGUAUGUACCAUAUGAAUAAGGAUCGGCUAACUCCGUGCCAGCAGCCGCGGUAAUACGGAGGAUCCGAGCGUUAUCCGGAUUUAUUGGGUUUAAAGGGAGCGUAGGUGGAUUGUUAAGUCAGUUGUGAAAGUUUGCGGCUCAACCGUAAAAUUGCAGUUGAAACUGGCAGUCUUGAGUACAGUAGAGGUGGGCGGAAUUCGUGGUGUAGCGGUGAAAUGCUUAUAUAUCACGAAGAACUCCGAUUGCGAAGGCAGCUCACUGGACUGCAACUGACACUGAGGCUCGAAAGUGUGGGUAUCAAACAGGAUUAGAUACCCGAGUAGUC
rnacentral:rRNA from 1 species